rnacentral:rRNA from 1 species
ACCGGCGCAAGGGUGCGUAACGCGUGAGCAACAUGCCCGUAUCAGGGGAAUAAUCCAGGGAAACUUGGUCUAAUACCCCAUAGUAAAUAUAUAAGGCAUCUUAUAUAUUUUAAAGCUUUGGUGGAUACGGAUUGGCUCGCGUGACAUUAGCUAGAUGGUAAGGUAACGGCUUACCAUGGCUACGAUGUCUAGGGGUUCUGAGAGGAAGAUCCCCCACACUGGAACUGAGACACGGUCCAGACUCCUACGGGAGGCAGCAGUGAGGAAUAUUGGACAAUGGAUGGAAAUCUGAUCCAGCCAUGCCGCGUGCAGGAAGACGGCCCUAUGGGUUGUAAACUGCUUUUAUAUGGGAGCAAUAAGGCCUACGAGUAGGUCGAUGAGAGUACCAUAUGAAUAAGCACCGGCUAACUCCGUGCCAGCAGCCGCGGUAAUACGGAGGGUGCAAGCGUUAUCCGGAUUUAUUGGGUUUAAAGGGUGCGUAGGCGGUUUGAUAAGUCAGCGGUGAAAUAUUUCAGCUUAACUGGAAGGGUGCCGUUGAUACUGUCAGGCUUGAAUUUAGUUGCUGUGGGUGGAAUGUGUGGUGUAGCGGUGAAAUGCAUAGAUAUCACACAGAAUAUCGAUUGCGAAGGCAGCUCACAAAGCUAAAAUUGACGCUGAUGCACGAAAGUGUGGGGAUCAAACAGGAUUAGAUACCCUGGUAGUCCACACUGUAAACGAUGAUAACUCGCUGUCGG